rnacentral:lncRNA from 1 species
CUCAUGUCAGCUCAUAACUUCGCUCCUCGAUCGCUUUAUCUUUCUAGUGAUCUAGUGAUGCGGGAAGGGAAUGAUAAUUAGACUCCUAUAGCAGUUCGGGAGCAUCGGCAUCUAUUUGGUAGAAUAUAACGACCUGAUCUCUUUGCUUUCGAUGGCUGCUCGGGGCUGAAACAUAGUGGAAAUGCGAAUAUGAUCGAUCCCGGCUCAUAAGAAGUACGGAGGUUCUUGUAAGUUGGGUCAGCGGUUCCAGUGACUCAAGGAAUAGGGCAUUUUGGCACUGUUGAAGUGAUUGGCGGAAAUGCCCUUGAGACGAGAAUCCCGUUGAAAUGGAAAGUCCUUGGUCUACAUACAUUAGUAGUAGGUUACGCUCCUAUUAUUGAAAAGGAGUUAUCCUCCUCAAAAUCCUUCCCCCCUUGGUCGAGUUGGCUUAAGCCCGAAUCCAUCCUUACGGAAGAAGGGCGGGAUAUCGGCUACGAGAGAGAGUCCUUGUUGUUCACCUCCGCCUCCCGACGCUGCUGACCCCUACCGGGACCUUUUUCCUUUAUUCGCUACAAGACUGGUCCAAAAUUCUAGUUCGUUGCACUCACCCUUCGUUUCUGUUAAUCAUUCAUGACCCCCUGAUCUCUUUGCUUUCGAUGGCUGCUCGGGGCUGAAACAUAGUGGAAAUGCGAAUAUGAUCGAUCCCGGCUCAUAAGAAGUACGGAGGUUCUUGUAAGUUGGGUCAGC